GCUGAUAAUAUUGUGCCGUAUGACCUUAGCCAACAUAUGACGUUUCUCACGUUUAAGCCUUUCCAGAUUUAACUUGCUGUACGUAUAAAUUCUUUUACCUGCGGUUCAUCCUGUGGAUUUUUCUAAAGAGAACCGCCACACACUCAUUAUGGAAGUAAUUGUUUUAUUACUAGCUGUCUCUGUAAUAAGUACUCUCACCGGUGCAUCACUCACACUUCCUCCAACAACACCAAGUCCACCAACAACACCUGUUCCGCCAACAACCCCAGGUCCUCCCACAACUACUUCAGAAUGUAUUUCUGGUGAGAGUAAAUCGGAGAAUUGUUUCGCAUAUUUCUGUUAUGAAGGAAGGUGGGAACAAUUCGAAUUUAUAGCCACUGUAGAAUGUUGUAAUACAAAACCAGAUUUUCCUCGUUGUAUAAUGAUUUUCCCCGAAUUAUUUGGAUCGACAACCCCUCCCCCAACAUCACCACCACCACCACCUACAACCACUUCACAGUGUUCUUCCGGUGAUGGCAAAAUAGAGAAUUGUUACAUAUAUACCUGUUCUGGAGGAAUGUGGCAAAGAUUUGAAUUCACUGCAACAAUACCAUGUUGUCAGCAACAGCUACAUCCUAAAUGCUUCACAUUAUUUCCUGGUGUUUUUGAUACUAGUACUACUACAAUCCCCCUAACAACUACAACAACUACAACAACAACAGCGACUAAGGCACCAGCAAUUAUUGCUGCUGCAAGAGAACCAAUAUAUGAAUGUAAAUCUGAGAAAGAGCAGAUGAUUAGAGAUUGUAUUGUAUAUGUCUGUGUUAAAUACAGAUGGCAGAAAUAUCAGUAUGCAGUAACUAAAGAGUGCUGUCAUAGGUAUCCUGAACAAAGAGGAUGUAGCAAACUAUUAUCAGCCUGAAAAGUGUAUCCAACAUGAAUCCAGUAGAUAAUGAAAAGAACAAAAUCCGAGACUUCUGCUGUUUUUCUUCAAGAUAAAUAAAAAAAAAAACAAAAAAAAAAACAAUUUAUCAGGUUUCAGCCUAUUACUGACCAACUAUCUGUACAGUUGGAUUCCUGGCUAUUAUUAAAUUCGAUAUACGUGCUACGUUACGGACUUUAGGUUUUGUUUUCUAAUAGUUAAACCGUAUUGUUCAACACCCGUGUUUACAUAUCUUACAUACAAAUCUAUUUUAUAAAGUACAACAAAGUACCUAUAUAUGUAUAUUAUAAUCUAUAGCCUAGAAUCUUCUGAAACACCAGACAUGUCUGAUGCUGAUGUCCCUAAGCGUGCAUAUUUCUUUGAAAUGAUGGGAACGCACAUAGUUGAGGCACCACUGACUUGAUUUGACAGUCGCUGCAAAGACUUUACCCGGGAUUCAAACAAAAUGUACUAAUAUGGAAACCGCGUGGCCAUCUUUCUAAGAAUUAGUUCGGAGGGGAGGGAGUCUUUCGUGACUAAUGGUGGGUACCAAAACUAUGACCAAACCAGUUCAUAUCCAGAACGCCUGCUUAACCCAAAUUUUUUUUUGCAAUCCCGAUAGAUCACUCAAAUCCAUGAAGGUAAUGGUCUUAAGCUAUUACAACAUUAUGGCAUUUACUUACCACAAAUCGCCCAUUUGAAUGUAAUGGCCCCAAUACAUUGGACCCAAUGCAAUGUGGAACAAUAUAGUCUUAGGUUUGAUAACCUAAUGGUAUUAUAAAUUAGCAAAUAAGCCAGUAAAUUUAGUUUUAAGGAUUAAAUUAGUGUAAAAUGGACAUUAACUACACCAGGAAGGUUCUAAAGGGGUUAUAUUUACGCGCGUCAUAGAGUUACUAAAGUUUCUUUGAUUAACCAGGCCCUAAAGGGCAGAAUAACGAUAAAAACGGCUACAAAUACCACGUUCGUGUGGUGAUAUUUGGGGUGUUGGUAUCAGCUAAUGCCAGCUUCUGUUUCAUGAUAAUAGCUACAAUAUCGAGGAAUAGCACAUUAGAUAGCGAGUAUUUCAAUGUACAUACGUUAUGCCUAUGUUCUACCUUUAGUUAAAAACUUGCAUUGACUUUUCCCAUUGUCCAAUCCUUCUCGAAUAUAUAAGAUAUUAUUAAAACAUUGCUGUGAAUUUAUCACGUUACAUCUUAAAAUUUUAGUUCGAAACAUGUUAGUUAACCACUAAUAUUCUGAUCUGUAACAUACACUUCACACCAGUGUCCAUUGUACACGUGGUACAUAGAACAAUAACCGUAUGUUAGUUUCAAAAUGUGUGUUGUUUAAGAGAUUUUAAUUUACUUCUGGUUUGGGACUGCAUCGGGGUAAAGGAAAACAGCAAGUCAAGAUCACAGACCGGACUAUAUACACGUUCCAUUGCUGUACGGUGUAAUAUACAAGGAAUAGUCUGGCCAGCUAAUUCGAUUGCACUGCCCUGGAAAAAUGUUCUCAAGCGAAUGCAAAAUAUGAUAUUUGUAUACUCUGUGGGGAUCUGCGGAGACCGUAUAUUUAGUUGAAAGGUUUAAUCUAAGCUUUAUAGCGCAGAUGUUGUUUACUUGAAUUGAAUGGUGGCCAUUUUAUACAGGUAAAGUUUAUAAUGUCAUCAUGACUGAAUCUCAGACACCACACCAUCGCCAUUACAUUACAUAAGACACAUUUUAUUCCUCUUUCAAGGUGUUAAAUGAAAGGAUUAUCAUUAGACAAAGAUUAGAUAUUGACACCGGCUUUAUUUCUCCAGUUAGUCGAGGCACAUCAAAAGACAAGCAACAAAUUGUGACUCCCCGAGUCUUCUAUUUCGCCAUUGACCACUCACGUGCGACUAAAUAUUAUAGUAUACAUGUCACCAACAGCCUAUUGUUGCUGUAAGAGUGUGUGAGUGCAUAGCUUGUAUUUCUAUCUGAUAUAAGGUGCUAGUUGCCUCCCUUUUUUCUACCCUUUUUUUCUCAUUCUUUAUUUUGUCUUUUUUAUCGGUUUAUCAGAGACGCACAGUGAUUAUUUUGUUUAGUUAUCGAAAAUGUACCUGGAGGUAUAGAAUAAUUUAUGUGGCUUUCACGUAGCCUUAAUUGCUGGGGAUAUAAUAAGGAUUAAAAUCAACACUGGAAUAAAGAUGGCGAUAUUCUGGUUUAAAAUGUCUAUUGUUGUAUUGUUCAUCAGUGACGUGUCAUCACAUCUUGUCACUGAUUGGGCGACAUAUUGUGGAGGUAAAAUUGGUCUAUUCCGCCAUCCUGAGUUAUGUGAUAGAUAUAUAGCGUGUUCUCCAUCUCAUCUAUAUAUUGGUAUGUGUCCAGAAGGUCUUCAUUUUAACAUCAAACACAACGUGUGUGAUUGGCCUUAUAAAGCGGACUGCAAAAUACAAAAGCAAUCUAAUAACUGUCCUGAUCUAAUCAUCUGCAAAAACCACGUGAAAUAUUUUCAGUUUCCUGAUUGGUCAGACUGUAGCAAAUUCUACGUUUGUACAUAUGGAGUUUUGAAGAAGAAUUCCUGUCCAAUGGGGAUGCAUUAUGAUUUCAUAAAUUGGACAUGCACGUUCGCUAGUACGUCCACGUGCUACGAACCUUAAAUGUGUUUUUGAAACGAAAUCAAGGAAAGAAAGACGUUUACAAAACAUGUUAUAUCAAUUUUUAUGAAUAAAUAUUUGAUGUAAUAUA